rnacentral:lncRNA from 1 species
AAGGCUGGAAAAUCGGUGUAUGUCAAAUUUCACUGGAAGCCCACCUGUGGUGUGAAGUGUCUAUUGGAGGAAGAGGCCAUUCAGGUGGGAGGAUCCAACCACAGCCAUGCUACUAAAGACCUUUAUGACUCAAUUGCUGCUGGUAACUAUCCUGAGUGGAAACUUUACAUUCAAACAAUAGAUCCUGCUCAUGAAGACAGAUUUGAGUUUGACCCACUUGAUGUAACUAAGACUUGGCCCGAGGACAUCAUACCCCUUCAGCCCGUAGGUCGCAUGGUCUUGAACAAGAACAUAGAUAAUUUCUUUGCUGAGAAUGAACAGCUUGCAUUUUGUCCUGCCAUUAUCGUGCCUGGUAUAUAUUACUCAGAUGACAAGAUGCUUCAAACUAGGGUUUUCUCUUAUGCUGAUUCACAGAGGCACAGACUUGGACCGAACUACCUGCAACUUCCUGUUAAUGCUCCCAAGUGUUCUCACCACAACAAUCACCAUGAGGGUUUCAUGAAUGCCAUUCACAGGGAUGAGGAGGUAAUUUAAUGUUUUACUCUUCUAUAAAUAUUCUUGUUUUUCAGUUUUGGUGCAAGAGUCAGGUUGCCAUGAUAACAACCUGAUGCUAUUGAAAUAUCUGAAUCUGAUAUUGCAUCUUAUUCUUUAGUUAUAUAUAGUCUUUUUUUGUGAUCUGAGCUCUGUCAAUUUAUAGGUCAAUUACUUCCCUUCAAGGCAUGAUACUGUUCGUCAUGCAGAAAGGGUCCCCAUUCCUACUACUCAUUUAUCUGCAAGGCGUGAAAAGGUUAGUUUUUUUGUUUUUUGUGAGUGAAUCAUCAGUAUAUAUAACAUUACUUUAUUUAAUUUUUUAAGAAACCACACAUUUUAGAAGCAGAACAAAAAUUUGUGAAACAUUACUGCAAGAAUGUAUUAACAAUUGUACUUCUUAAUGCAGUGCAAUAUUCCGAAACAGAAUCACUUCAAGCAGGCUGGAGAAAGAUACCGAACUUGGGCACCUGACAGGUUCUUGCUAUAAAAUCCUAAUAUGAUAAACAUGAAAUAUAUUAGGUGAUGUCUAACAUUUGGUUUUCUUUGCCUUUUUAAAUCUUUUCAGGCAGGAAAGAUUUCUCCGCAGGUGGGUAGAAGCUUUAUCCGACACCGAUCCACGCAUCACCCAUGAAAUCCGCAGCAUUUGGGUAUCAUACUGGUCUCAGGUAAGAUUUAGAAUUGUUAAUUUAUAACACUAGGAAGUUAUAGUGUAGCCGAGUGAAAGCAAAACUGUACUUAUUUGCUCUUAUGAUAUCGAUAUGCAGGCUGAUCGUUCUCUUGGGCAGAAGUUAGCAUCUCAUCUGAACAUGAGGCCUAGCAUUUAACUUUGUUGCCAAAUAUUGAAUCAUCGCAAGAUUUGCAGAUGUGCAAAAUGUAUGAUAAAGGAUGUUUGUUUGGAUUACUUGA